rnacentral:lncRNA from 1 species
UUCCCUGAAGAUGAACCAUAAACCCUGCCAGAGCCCCAGCCUGGCCUGGUGCUCCUGAAGCCUCACCCACCAGGUGGGGGUGGGGAUGGCAGUGAAGCCAGUUUAAGGCAAGGAAGAUGACCUGCAGAAGGUGUUGGAACAUUCAGAGGAUGACAUUUGGUGGCUUCAGCAUCACCGCCUGGCUCCACAAUCCAGAUAGCUGUGGCAUCUUUUUCACGCCCACCAGAGUGUCCUGGGCAAGCUACGGAAAGACGUUCAACGUUAGCAGCUAAGAGUUGGUCCAAAUGUUGGUUUGUGUGGAAUGAUUCUGUAGAAGGAUCCAGCUUUUAGGGAGGAUCAGUAAAGGAAGGGAUUGUGGGUUGUUUAGACAGAUCUCUCUGGCCCCCAAAUUUAAAGAAGCUAAUGUUUUCUGACACAGCUACUUGGUAGGUCCUGGGUUCCUGAUUGUCUUUUUAAAAAUCUGAAUCUUUAUCUACAACUGGAAUUGUAGUUCUAUUCUAGAGGCUUAUGUUCUGAAGAACAUACUUUCCACUGUUCAAAUUGGUAUUAAUGUAUUUUUUAAAGGCCCAUCACAGGUGUGUGACAGGAUUAUGAAGAAUUAAGUCACAGGUGUUGAAAGGCAGUCAGGAGUUGGUUAGUGAAACUUCCAGAGCAAAUAGCACUUUAUUUUGAUCAGUUCUUUCAUUUUGUGGUAAUCGCUAGUGCCAAGUGUGGCAUCUGAAAGGGAGGCCAGUUACAUUGACUAUUAAGAAAGGUGCAGUCUUGAGGAGCAGGCUUGCUCAGCAUCCCUCUAGGCACGCGCUGGGAUGUGCACCAGUCAGCGCUGAUUCAUUGAGCCCCUGCUGUGAGCCAGUCACAGUGCAGAGUGGCAACAGGAUACGUGCUUCAGACAACACUGGUGAGGGCAUGAAACAUGUUGGGUCUCGAAAAAGAUGUAUUGAUAUUUCACUCUUUGCCUAGCAAGAUGUCUCACCAGGGCUUGCUGCUGGCUGGAGACAGAAACCUUUUUUUUUGUUUGUUUUAAGUCUUUUUGCCAAACCCCUUUGCAUGGAGAUUUCUUUCUGAGUUUAAUGAGAUAAUGAAGAGGCAAUGCCUGCUUUCAGCCAAUGCUCAGUGAUCCUCCGUGGUUGGGAAGUUUUGCUCUCAUUGCCCAAGCGGCCUUUAAUUGGCCCGAAGCCCACCUUUGAGGAGUGGUUGAUUCAGCACAGGUCUUGCAAUGCAUUUCACUUAGAGUUCAGUUAUCUUGGGCUCUGUGCUUGAGGAUCAGUUAUUUCCCAAUCAGCUGACAGAGGAGAAAGACAGCAGAGGAGGGCAAGUUAGGGGGAGAUGGAGGGAGACAACCUUUGUCAGCUGUCUGUUCUUUCUUCUCUCUGGGCAUAAAUAUCACCAGGCUGGGUGUAUUUUGCAGGUAGCGCAUUCUGAAAUCCCUCACCGUCCUCCCACAUUUCUAACAGCUCUCAAGUUGCAUCAGUCGACAUAAAACUCAGUUGAAGUUUAGAAUGGUCCAUCACCUGCUGAAUAGAAAAUGCAGCCGAUCCCAGUGAUAUACUUUGGGAUUUUUAUAGCUUUGGGAUUUUUUUUUUUUAACAGAGACUCUUAAAGGUAAAACUUGGAAGACAGAAGUAGCCACAUGAAUUGGGCCAUUGUUUAAUUUCUGAGCUAUUUUGAGGGAACUCUUUAAACUUUCUUUCUUUAGGGGACCUACUUGGCCACUGUGGGGAAAUCGUUGUGAAUAAAUGAUUUAUAGGGAAUCCUUCUCAUCAGAGCUACAGAGAUUUCUUAUGUCCUUUGCAACCUUGGGCUGUAAGAGAAACAGUCGCAAAUGUUGUGCUGUGUCUUUGAGGUUGUUUGGGGACAUUUCCCCUCGAUACCACAGAGUCAUUCCUAGUUUCUGAGGUCAGUGUUAGGUCAUAAGGUACUGCAUUUAGCACAGGAAUCAGUCUACCGACUUCCUGCGAAGAUAUAAACUGCACAGUGUUUUUUAAAAUAAUUUUUAAAAUAAAUUCCAAGAGUAGGUAGAUCUUUAUAUAAAUACAUAUAUUUAUAAUGUUUCCAUACUCAGCUACAAUUUCCCCUGUAGUUGGAGUGGGGGAAAGCGAGGCUAUUAGAGGGAUUAUAAAGCUUUAAAAGCUGAAUUUUCCAAAUAUUUCUAGCUGAGUUGAUAGGUUCCUCUUUUAUCUGAAUAGCAUUUUGAAGUUUGAAUCUGGUAACAUACAGUUCUUGUAGUUUCUUUGUGGGUUUUUUUUUUUUUUCAGGUUAAUUACCCAAAGCCUCAUCCAUCCUCAAGGUUUUUAAAUUUUAUUUUUUUUAAUUAAUGGGGCAUUGUGUUUGUGAAUUUUUAAAAUAGUAAUGUUUUAUUUAAAUGCCAUGCUGAGCAAUUGUUCUCUGUACAUGGUAACCAAAAACGUAGAGAUUUCGAUCAAUUUUGAUCAAUGUUUAGUAAUCCAAAACAUGUACUGUGUACAAAUAAAAUAAUAUGGCAUAUUAGUCAGGUGUGAUGGUUGCCCAAGGCACUUAAAUUAAGCUCAAUUCUGUAUUUUAUUAGGGCUCCAUCACGUCCUUGAUUGAAAUAUAUACAUUUUUGGUGUAUACUUGGUACUGGAGAUUCAUAUACUGCAAAUAUUCUCAUACAAGAAAGCUCAGAAUUGUGCGUGCUUUUAAAAAAAGAUUAACUGUCCAGCCAGUGUCCGAAGAAAGUGUUUGGAGAGAUGACUCAGCCAUUUUGCCUAAAGACACCCUUCAGUAACUCCCACUGACCAGUCUUGGGAGUCAUCCCGGAAUGCUCGUGGGCUGAGAGGAGGAGACUGUGUUUUUGCAAAAUGAAACUGAAGCUAAAAGGGAAAAUGUGAGCAAACCAAGAGAAAUCCGAAGAUUUCAGGAAGGAGGACUUAAGAUGGACGUGAAACGAAGAGCUGGGCAGAAGGGGAGAUGGGGUGGAAAUCACACGAGGGUGCGAGAGAGGUCUGGGUUAGGAAACACAUUUUCUAGAUAUGUGCUACUUCAAACCAGGGGUCGCAAACUCAGCAGCCUGCAGAAGCAAGUUAGGGAGGUACAUAAGAGAAGGGUUGGGUGGUGAUGGGGGCUGUGCCGUCUUCAGGGGCCACAUGGCUCAUCUCCAUGCGGGGAAAAGGGUAGGGUGGGGCUGGAAAUGGAAAAACAAAAAAAAAUGAAACUUUCUGAUUUUUAAACAGCAUAAUUUAAAAAUAUCCAAAACACAAGUGGGCCAAAAAACACAUUUGCUUGAGCCUGGGGGCCACCAGUUUGCGACCCCUGCCUUAGACGGUAACCCCUCAAGUAUGUAUAAGGUUAUAUUUAUUGUUAUGGAUAUGAUGUUGUUAUACAUGGUGGUGGGGCAUGAUAUUUCAAGUCUGCUUUAUCGCUCAGAGCUAAGCUUUAUUGUAGAAACAAAACCCCCAAAUUAACACGGCCACAGAUAACACUUAACUCACAAUUCCCGGAAGGAUUCUCCACCCUGGACCCGUAGGAGUCAGAUGGGACAUCAGACCACUAGGGGCCAGCUCUUGGCAUUUCCUUCCUGGUGAGUUGGGGCCAAACUCCUUGGCUCUGUCGGAGUCCGCAGGUGAGCAAUCAGGAAGGAUUGCAGAGUAACUUGUUUUCUUCUUUAUUUGUAUUUUAUUUUUAUUUUUAAAUUAAUUAUUAUUUUUUUUAGUAGUUUCCUAGCCUUUGCAAUGAUGGUUGGUGGCCGUGAACACCGGCAAAGUAGUGCUGGGUCUCCCAGCCAAGCUUCUUAGGCUUGUUACCAGCCCCAGUGCCAAGAGCACUGUUCUGAUCAUAUGUUUCUAUCCCUUUCUGACUCCGUGGCUCCCACCAAAACUGACAUCCUAGCCUUCUGAAGGAAUGAAACUAAUAGCCUUCCAAAGUGUCUCCUUUAACCUCAUGGAGUAAGUCACCUUUUCCGUAAAAUGUGGCUUUUGACCGUGACGAUGACUUAUCGUAUCCACGUGGAGGAAGGUUAUUACCUCCCUGCCCAGUGGUGGGAAAAAUGAACCUGGUGAACAUUCCCAGUAUCCCUCGGGAAGGAAAAGAGUUCAGUGUUAUCAUUGUGGCAUUUGUUAGUUUUUAUAAAAAAUUGCAUGUCUGUUUCUUAGACACUACUGUUUAUUUUUUCUGUACCUACAUAGCACACGAUUUGGUGGGGAUGAAGCAAGUAUAAGUUGGGAGAGGACGAAGAUGUAUGUGAACAUCAGUACAGAGAGAACAGACUAAAACAUGCAGCUAAAUUAUAUGUAAUCUGGUUUUAGAAGUAUCAGAUAUUCAGGAAUAUUUUUAGCACCCUUUGCUUAAAAAAAAAAAAUGCCUUGAUUCAGUCACUUGACUUGAAAACAUUCCUCUUAUUUUACUGUUAUUUUUAGUGUGGAUUUGGACCCCAAACUGUGUAUUAUGAUGCAGUCUAUUGGCUGUGGUCAUAGUGUAUGUUUUGUUCCAAUAACAGAGACCAAAGAGGUAAUCAGCUAUGGUUCAGCUGCUACAGUUGUGUGAUUAAAAGGCGUUCUAAUCACACCAGAUUUCCAUGGCCCAAAUAGUCGAGGCCGGCCAUUUGUUUUCUAUUUCAGGUUGGAGUAAAUUUGCACUUUUAAUCAUAUGGGUCAUUUGGGGACCUUGUUCUUUCAUACUUUGCUUUAUUAAUAAAGGAACUUGUAG